UUCCCCUAGUAACUGCGAGUGAAGCGGGAAAAGCUCAAAUUUAAAAUCUGGCGGUCUUUGGCCGUCCGAGUUGUAAUCUAGAGAAGUAAUGCCCGUGCUGGACCGUGUAUAAGUCUCCUGGGAUGGGGCGUCAUAGAGGGUGAGAAUCCCGUCUUUGACACGGACUACCAGUGCAUUGUGGUAUGCUCUCAAAGAGUCGAGUUGUUUGGGAAUGCAGCUCAAAAUGGGUGGUAAAUUCCAUCUAAAGCUAAAUAUUGGCGAGAGACCGAUAGCGAACAAGUACCGUGAGGGAAAGAUGAAAAGAACUUUGGAAAGAGAGUUAAACAGUACGUGAAAUUGCUGAAAGGGAAACGCUUGAAGUCAGUCGCGUUGGCCAGGGAUCAGCCUUGCUUUUGCAUGGUGUACUUUCUGGUUGACGGGUCAGCAUCAAUUUUGACYGCUGGAAAAGGGCCUGGGGAAUGUGGCAGCUUCGGCUGUGUUAUAGCCCCUGGUCGCAUACAGUGGUUGGGAUUGAGGAACUCAGCACGCCGCAAGGCCGGGUUUCGACCACGUUCGUGCUUAGGAUGCUGGCAUAAUGGCUUUAAGCGACCCGUCUUGAAACACGGACCAAGGAGUCUAACAUGCCUGCGAGUAUUUGGGUGGAAAACCCGAGUGCGCAAUGAAAGUGAAAGUUGAGAUCCCUGUCGUGGGGAGCAUCGACGCCCGGACCAGAACUUUUGGGACGGAUCCGCGGUGGAGCAUGUAUGUUGGGACCCGAAAGAUGGUGAACUAUGCCUGAAUAGGGUGAAGCCAGAGGAAACUCUGGUGGAGGCUCGUAGCGAUUCUGACGUGCAAAUCGAUCGUCAAAUUUGGGUAUAGGGGCGAAAGACUAAUC
rnacentral:rRNA from 1 species